rnacentral:rRNA from 1 species
AAACCAACAGGGAUUGCCCCAGUAACGGCGAGUGAAGCGGCAACAGCUCAAAUUUGAAAUCUGGCCCCAGGCCCGAGUUGUAAUUUGCAGAGGAUGCUUUUGGCGCGGUGCCUUCCGAGUUCCCUGGAACGGGACGCCAUAGAGGGUGAGAGCCCCGUACGGUUGGACACCAAGCCUUUGUAAAGCUCCUUCGACGAGUCGAGUAGUUUGGGAAUGCUGCUCUAAAUGGGAGGUACAUUUCUUCUAAAGCUAAAUAUUGGCCAGAGACCGAUAGCGCACAAGUAGAGUGAUCGAAAGAUGAAAAGCACUUUGAAAAGAGGGUUAAACAGCACGUGAAAUUGUUAAAAGGGAAGCGCUUGUGACCAGACUUGCGUCCGGUGAAUCACCCAGCUCUCGCGGCUGGGGCACUUCGCCGGCACAGGCCAGCAUCAGCUUGCCGUCGGGGACAAAAGCUUCAGGAACGUGGCUCCUCUCGGGGAGUGUUAUAGCCUGUUGCAUAAUACCCUUCGGCGGGCUGAGGUACGCGCUUCCGCAAGGAUGCUGGCGUAAUGGUCAUCAGCGAC